UUUCCGUAGGUGAACCUGCGGAAGGAUCAUUACCGAAUUUACAACUCCCAAACCCAAUGUGAACCAUACCAAACUGUUGCCUCGGCGGGGUCACGCCCCGGGUGCGUCGCAGCCCCGGAACCAGGCGCCCGCCGGGGGGACCAACCAAACUCUUUCUGUAGUCCCCUCGCGGACGUUAUUUUUACAGCUCUGAGCAAAAAUUCAAAAUGAAUCAAAACUUUCAACAACGGAUCUCUUGGUUCUG
rnacentral:misc_RNA from 1 species